rnacentral:rRNA from 1 species
CAGCAGCAGCCACGGUAAUACGAGGGGAGCUAGCGUUAUUCGGAAUUACUGGGCGUAAAGCGCACGUAGGCGGCCUUGUAAGUUAGAGGUGAAAGCCCAGAGCUCAACUCUGGAAUUGCCUUUAAGACUGCAUCGCUUGAAUCCAGGAGAGGUGAGUGGAAUUCCGAGUGUAGAGGUGAAAUUCGUAGAUAUUCGGAAGAACACCAGUGGCGAAGGCGUCUCACUGGACUGGUAUUGACGCUGAGGUGCGAAAGCGUGGGGAGCAAACAGGAUUAGAUACCCGUGUAGUCCCUGUCUCUUAUAC